AUUUAAAUAGUUUAAAAAUAAAAAUAUUGAUUUGUGAUAUCAAUGAUGUAAUUUAUAUUUACUUUAAAUU
rnacentral:tRNA from 1 species